rnacentral:rRNA from 1 species
UACAGAGGGGGCAAGCGUUAUUCGGAAUUAUUGGGCGUAAAGGGCGCGUAGGCGGCUUGGCAAGUGGAUGGUGAAAUCCCUCGGCUUAACCGAGGAACGGCCGUCCAAACUGCUUCGCUUGAGACCGGGAGAGGUGAGUGGAAUUCCCAGUGUAGCGGUGAAAUGCGUAGAUAUUCGGAGGAACACCAGUGGCGAAGGCGGCUCACUGGUCCAUUACUGACGCUGAGGUGCGAAAGCGUGGGGGAGCAAACAGG